GACGUAGGGUGCAAGCGUUGUCCGGAUUUACUGGGCGUAAAGAGCGCGUAGGCGGUCUUGUAAGUGUGAAGUGAAAUCUCCAGGGCUCAACCCGGAAACUGCUUUGCAUACUGCGAGACUAGAGGAAUGCAGAGGUUUGUGGAAUUCCUGGUGUAGCGGUGAAAUGCGUAGAUAUCAGGAGGAACACCGGUGGUGUAAACGGCUUUCUGGACCAUAACUGACGCUGAGGCACGAAAGCGUGGGUAGCAAACAGG
rnacentral:rRNA from 1 species